CAGGCUUAACACAUGCAAGUCGAGGGGCAGCAUCAUCAAAGCUUGCUUUGAUGGAUGGCGACCGGCGCACGGGUGAGUAACACGUAUCCAACCUGCCGACAACACUGGGAUAGCCUUUCGAAAGAAAGAUUAAUACCGGAUGGCAUAGUUUUCCCGCAUGGGAUAAUUAUUAAAGAAUUUCGGUUGUCGAUGGGGAUGCGUUCCAUUAGGCAGUUGGCGGGGUAACGGCCCACCAAACCGACGAUGGAUAGGGGUUCUGAGAGGAAGGUCCCCCACAUUGGAACUGAGACACGGUCCAAACUCCUACGGGAGGCAGCAGUGAGGAAUAUUGGUCAAUGGACGAGAGUCUGAACCAGCCAAGUAGCGUGAAGGAUGACUGCCCUAUGGGUUGUAAACUUCUUUUAUACGGGAAUAAAGUUAGCCACGUGUGGCUUUUUGUAUGUACCGUAUGAAUAAGGAUCGGCUAACUCCGUGCCAGCAGCCGCGGUAAUACGGAGGAUCCGAGCGUUAUCCGGAUUUAUUGGGUUUAAAGGGAGCGUAGGCGGGUUGUUAAGUCAGUUGUGAAAGUUUGCGGCUCAACCGUAAAAUUGCAGUUGAUACUGGCGACCUUGAGUGCAACAGAGGUAGGCGGAAUUUCGUGGUGUAGCGGUGAAAUGCUUAGAUAUCACGAAGAACUCCGAUUGCGAAGGCAGCUUACUGGAUUGUAACUGACGCUGAUGCUCGAAAGUGUGGGUAUCAAACGGGAUUAGAUACCCUGGUAGUCCACACAGUAAACGAUGAAUACUCGCUGUUGGCGAUAUACAGUCAGCGGCCAAGCGAAAGCAUUAAGUAUUCCACCUGGGGAGUACGCCGGCAACGGUGAAACUCAAAGGAAUUGACGGGGGCCCGCACAAGCGGAGGAACAUGUGGUUUAAUUCGAUGAUACGCGAGGAACCUUACCCGGGCUUAAAUUGCAACUGACUGAACCGGAAACGGUUCUUUCUUCGGACAGUUGUGAAGGUGCUGCAUGGUUGUCGUCAGCUCGUGCCGUGAGGUGUCGGCUUAAGUGCCAUAACGAGCGCAACCCUUAUCGAUAGUUACUAGCAGGUCAUGCUGAGGACUCUAUUGAGACUGCCGUCGUAAGAUGUGAGGAAGGUGGGGAUGACGUCAAAUCAGCACGGCCCUUACGUCCGGGGCUACACACGUGUUACAAUGGGGGGUACAGAAGGCAGCUACACGGCGACGUGGUGCUAAUCCCGAAAGCCUCUCUCAGUUCGGAUUGGAGUCUGCAACCCGACUCCAUGAAGCUGGAUUCGCUAGUAAUCGCGCAUCAGCCACGGCGCGGUGAAUACGUUCCCGGGCCUUGUACACACCGCCCGUCAAGCCAUGAAAGCCGGGGGUACCUGAAGUACGUAACCGCAAGGAGCGUCCUAGGGUAAAACUGGUGAUUGGGGCUAA
rnacentral:rRNA from 1 species